rnacentral:lncRNA from 1 species
ACACAACAAUGGAAGCGAGGGUACAAAUCAACCAAAAGGCUACGAAUGAAUCGGAAACGAAAAUGAAGGUGUGAAUAAUGUUCGACACAUGGAGUCAUAUAGGCCACACCCAGCAGGCCGGUUGCAGUCGGGCUUUGAAAAAAUAUUCAGCAUAUCAGUUCGGCGGAACAGUCCUUCCGUUCAGAUAUGGGAUUCACAUGCAAUCCUUCCCCCC